rnacentral:ncRNA from 1 species
UGGGGACACGGUAAGAUCGGUGACAAAAAGUAAGUCGUAACAAGGCAAGGGUAGCGGAAGCUGCUCUUGGAUCACCUCCUUU